CCAUUGAACGGGGAAGGUUUCUUAAGGUCACAAGCUUUUAUGUACAUCGGCUAUUUUAGCUGGAGAUGGUUUAUGAUGCUUUCUAGAAUUCAUGUCAAUCAAUAUAUUCUUAUUCCCAUUUUUAUGUUGCAGAUUGUGACCCCCUUUCUCAUGGCCAAGACGGACAUUAAAACUGCAGAAGUUGUGCUUCUUCCCGACUUGGUGGUUCAUUCUUAAACCGGUAUUUCCCGGAACUGGUUUGAGAAUAAGAUUCUCCCCAUUGAUGACACCAAAAGGAACUGUUGGUUUCUGUGUGUAAAUGCAAUCUCCCAGAACGCUUCUGCAAUUCUUGAUGGAUCAGGGUUUUUCUUCAGCUAUAUCCGAUCAAGGGAUCCAAGGCUUGAUGUGACGUCAAACCGUCAACAGCUAUAUCCCUAUUGACGGUGCUCGGGCUCUGAUAUGACAUCAUCACGAACAUCCAGGUAUGCAGACUGUUCCAGGAAGUUAGAUAUCAAAGAAGGAACCGUUUCUUUGCUUCGUCCCUUUGUGCAUUAGGAUCUUUCUUCGGCUAUAUUCUAUCCAGAGUGCUCGGGUUUGGUAUGGUGCCACUACAAACCGUGCAGGUAUGUUAACUGUUUCAGAACGUAGAUUAUAGUUGUUUAGCAUGAAAAACAAGAGUACCAUUUAUUAUUAUAGCAACUUGGCAUC